GAAAUGCGAUACUUGGUGUGAAUUGCAGAAUCCCGUGAACCAUCGAGUCUUUGAACGCAAGUUGCGCCCGAAGCCAUUAGGCCGAGGGCACGCCUGCCUGGGUGUCACACAUCGUUUCUUCAGAUUCAAGGUGAAUGAUCGCAAAAAGUACACACAAAGGUACUUGACAAUUUACUGCCAAAUUGGACCUCAAAUCAAGCAAGGCUACCCGCUGAACUUAA
rnacentral:misc_RNA from 1 species